GACGAACGCUGGCGGCGUGCUUAACACAUGCAAGUCGAACGGAAAGGCACUGCUUUUGUGGGGUGCUCGAGUGGCGAACGGGUGAGUAACACGUGAGUAACCUGCCCUUGACUUUGGGAUAACUUCAGGAAACUGGGGCUACUACCGGAUAGGAGCCCCUGUUCGAGGGUGGGGGUUGGAAAGUUUCGGCGGUUGGGGAUGGACUCGCGGCUUUUCAGCUUGUUGGUGGGGUAGUGGCUUACCAAGGCUUUGACGGGUAGCCGGCCUGGGAGGGUGACCGGCCACAUUGGGACUGAGAUACGGCCCAGACUCCUACGGGAGGCAGCAGUGGGGAAUAUUGCACAAUGGGCGGAAGCCUGAUGCAGCAACGCCGCGUGCGGGAUGACGGCCUUCGGGUUGUAAACCGCUUUCGCCUGUGACGAAGCGUGAGUGACGGUAAUGAGUAAAGAAGCACCGGCUAACUACGUG
rnacentral:rRNA from 1 species